GAGCGAAACCAGACGGCAUAAGCCGUUUGGUCUGCUGGACGUGGUUGUCCAGUACUGAUGAGCAGCCGAGG
rnacentral:hammerhead_ribozyme from 1 species